rnacentral:tRNA from 1 species
GCGCCCGUAGCUCAGCUGGAUAGAGCGUCGCCCUCCGAAGGCGAAGGUCAGGGGUUCGACUCCCUUCGGGCGCGCCA